AUUGGAGGCGCGUGGGGAAGGGACUGUAUAGGAGCAGUUUCUGUGUGAUUGAAGUCACGCUGAUAUAAAUUCCAAUUAGAAUGUUGUAACUUGAGGGUGUUAAUGCAAUUCCCAUGGUAACCACGAAGAAAAUAGCCCAAGAAUAUGCACAGAAGGAGAUGAGAAGGCAAUUAGGAAAUCUCUUAUGAGGAUGAGAAAAGUUCUGGAGAUAGCAGUACUGCAGUGUGAGUGUGCCCCAUGCCGCUGCAUUGUAGACUCAAGAAUGGUUAAAAUGGUAUAUACUUCAGAAAACUGAAAACACACUCACCCAAAAGCUCGUACAUGAACGUUCGCAGCAGUAUUCAUAACUAAGGCAGUGGAAACAACCCAUCUGUCCAUCACGUGAUGAACAGAUAAAUUGUGGUCUGUCCACAUGCUGGAAUAUGAUUCAGCCAUGAAAAGGGAACAAAGCUCUGACACCUGUUACCACAUAGAUGAACCUCAAAUGCAUUAUUCUGAGAGUGGUCAGACACAAAGGACCACAUAUCAUGUGCUUCCUUUGCUGUGAAACGCCCAGAA